rnacentral:rRNA from 1 species
AGCCAACUCUAAGAUGAAUCUUCUCUAAGCUCUCUAGAAGACUACUAGUUUGAUAGGCUGGGUGUGUAAUGGAUGAAAGUCCUUUAGCUGACCAGUACUAAUAGAGCGUUUGGCUUAUCUUUAAUAAAGCAU